CACCGAUUUAAUUUUGGCUGUUACAUUAUAAGAGUGAUAGUGAUAAGGGAUUAUACUACAACUCAAGCACAACAAGUGCCUUGUCCUGCGCUGAGCUGGGAACCAGUUUCAAAAAGUCUGGUGCUCAUUAUACAUAUAUCCUUGAGACACUUGGGCCACUUCCUGCUUUCCUGAGGCUUUGGUCUGAGUUCAUUUUUAUCAGACCUGCAGUGACCGCGUAUAUUGCCCUGGCUUUCGGUCACUACGUCGCAGAGCCGUUUAUCACGCCGUGCCCAGCUCCUCUUCCAUUAGUCAAAUUAACCAGUUUUCUUGCAAUGA